rnacentral:rRNA from 1 species
UACGUAGGGUGCGAGCGUUAAUCGGAAUUACUGGGCGUAAAGCGUGCGCAGGCGGUUCGUUAAGUUCGAUGUGAAAGCCCCGGGCUCAACCUGGGAACUGCAUUGGAAACUGGCGAGCUUGAAUGCGGCAGAGGGGGGUGGAAUUCCGCGUGUAGCAGUGAAAUGCGUAGAGAUGUGGAGGAACACCGAUGGCGAAGGCAGCCUCCUGGGCCAACACUGACGCUCAUGCACGAAAGCGUGGGGAGCAAACAGG